GGCGUCUAUUCAUGACGUCGUUACCACCACGAAGUUUUAUGUGCGGUUCCUAAUAAGUUGAAGGAUAAUAAAAUGCCCGUUAAAAAUGGAAAACUUUAUUAUAAAAACAAUAUAUAUAACAAACACAUCAACAAAAAUAAUAUGUAUUAAAUUUGUAAAAAACUGGUAAAACCAGUAUAUUCAAUGUAAAUUAAUAUAACAUAAAUAGUGAAGGCAUCAAGGUAGCACCGUGAAGGUUGGAAAUAAAGUAUUUUCAUAUACUUUAUUUGUAUGCAAAAGUAUAAUUACCAAAAAGACUACCCAAUUAAACUCAACAUAAAAAACUGGUGCAAAGGUGCUUGUGCAAGUACUGCAGAGUUCAUUAGAAAUGGGCCAAUUUUAUGUCGAAGUGCGUGCCACUCCGCCAGUGAAUUGCAUUAGAAAUAUAUAUUAAAGAUGACACUAAAGUAAAUAAUUUUAUGUUGGUAGUGCAUAAGGGAUACAGAUUGGCAAAACCUAGUUGUUAAUUUGUAAUCUUCGUGUUAUACUUGCCUUUUUGGAACUAAUAGUUAGGUUUAUUUAAUUGCAUAAUCAAGAUCAUCAUCGAGACUACCAGAUAUCAAAAGAAAAGUUUUAAAUUGUUUAGUAGAGCUCUUUAUAAUACCUACGGUUUUUUCAAGGACGGAAGAAACGUUUCUAGAACCUUCUUCAUAAAGAAACACCUUCUUUUUUAAAAUACUAUUCUUCUUACCUUUUAAGUACAGUUGAUAACCUGAUUUUUGUAAAAAUAACGACUCUGGUAAUGAAUAUACAUGACUAGUUAUGAUAUUGUACUGAACAUUAGUUGGUACUACCUUCAUCUGGAGAGAUAAAUAUUCUGUAGCUUGGUACACUCCACCUUGAUGCAAAAAACCAUAAAAUAAACUGAAUAUAAAGUUCAACAUCAACCAAAUUCUAAUAAAACUAUAAUUAUUGAAUGUUUUUCUUGAUUGCGUUACAUAUGGUACGUUAGGAGCUUCAACUAAAGCUACGUCAGUUUCUGGUAGUAUAGAUGAAGCAUACAGAUAAAUUAAUGGGAAAAUGAGUGGAAUUAAAAAACGUGGUUCUUGAUGGGGAAAUAUUGACAAAGCUGCCAAAGGGACUAUGAAUGAAAGAGUCAUCAGGCAUUUAAUACUUCUUAGUGAUGGUAGUAGGUUGAACUUCUUCAAAUAACACCUAAAAAUAACAAAAAACAUGUCUUCCUGUCAAAUAAAUUAAGAGCCUUGAGAGAAGGGUCAAAGUUAUUAUUUCCAAAAUUUUCAGCUAGAUUUAUAUAAUUUUUUUUUAUAAUGUUUGUUUAAUAAAAAUCAGAAUUCAUAAUUCUGUAGGUUAUUUUAUUGACUUAGAAGCUAUAAUAAAAAAAACCUCGCAUAUGUCUUUAUGAGUCUACUCCAGUGAGAAGAUCUACAAAACUCAUUGUAUGUAUGUUGGCUAGUCUUCAGUCAUCUCUUCCUUGCAUCAAUGGUUGGAAUAUGAGAUUAGCAUGUGAUUCCAGCCUUUGGUGAUGCAUUUGGCUCCUCAGUUGUAUGGUUUCUUGUACUGUUGCAAUUAGAAGGUCUUAGUGUAUCAUCUGGUUUGAAAUAUUAUACCAAGAUAUCCUUUGUCUAACAGCUAUACUUGAUUUACCGGCAAGUCCCUACAGUUUUAUGCCGUAAGUCCAGAUUGGAAUGAUGACUGUCUUGUACAAUAAAAUGUUCACAUUUUUUAUUUUCUGGCUAGCAACCAAUUCAAAUCUCUCAUUUUAAGGUCUAUUUGUGUGUGUUUCUUUUUAAUGUGUUCUCUUCAGUUAAAUUUGGCGUCUAGGAGCAUUCCUAAAUAUUUAAUGCUAGAUGAUUGUAAAACUUCUAAUUAUUAAUGUAUAUUGAUGAAAUUAUGUGUUGCUAUUUGUUUUCAUAUAUAUUUAUUCUCCACCUUUUGAGCUCUUCUUUUACUUCUAACACAUAUUCUUACUAUAGGAUCUUUGUGGGACAAGAGAAUAACAGUGUAGUCUGCAUGGUCUGUUAUGGUGUAAUUAGAGAUGGGGAGGUUGGAGGUGAAUAUAUUUAUAUAAAUGAGAAUUAAUUUGUCAUCCACGAAUAUGGGAUUUAAAUGCAUUAUAUUCUUUCCUAAUAGUUCCAUUGCAAUACAAAUCUAUGUGGGUGUCCCAGAAGUGAAACACUCCUUCAAUUCUAGUCAUCAACAAUUACAAAACGGUGAAUAGAUUUUGAAUCCUUCUUCCUAAUUAUUAUUCUACUAUAGAGCUUCUGAGUACUUAAUAUUGAGCAAGCAAAAUGUUUUAAUUAGCAAAUAAAUAUUAGUGACAAAAUCUGAUACUAAAAAGUAAAAAUAAAUGAAGACAGUACUUACAAAUAUACAUAUUUUCCAACUGUACAGAGAGCGAAAAUUCCCAGUAAAUUAAAAAGUAAAGGAAUAUUCACCAGGACAUGCAAAAAUCUAGGAUGCAAUCCAUGUACAGCCAAAUUAUCCAAAUUGCUAUUAUAUUUCAAGAAAUUUAAUGGAGUGAAAACAAAUUUAUCCAUAGUAACAUCUAACAUACCAAUUUCCCCCCAAGUUAUAUGACCAUAAUAAAAUGAAUCAACUAAUAUAUUAAAAAGAAAUGAAGGGAUUGAGCAUAAGGCGAAGACUAGUACUCUGCAAUUGAGAGUUAGAGGAGAAAUUGUUUUCUUACCAAUACCUCUGUAUAACCAGAAAAAUAUGGGAAUAACUGAAUAUGCUAGGAAAGUUGGUCUAUUGAAGAAACCGAAAACUGUUAUAGUGCUAAUAACAAAGCAAUUUCUAUAGGAAUCUGAUACCAAGUAAAGUUUUAAUUUAUGAAACUUUGCUUUAUCAGCUGUUGUUUUACAUUGUUCAUAUCUAUAAUUUAUAUAGUCCUUUUUCUUCAAUAAAGUAUUGUUAAAAAUCAAACUUUCACCAACAAAAUACAACAAUAGGGAAAACAGAAUCAACUCGAUAGUAUUUGAAAAUGUCCUAGUACCAUAAAUGAUGAUAAUAUAUGAGCUAGCUAACAUUAUUAAUCGUGAUUUAUAUUUCUCAUUAUUAUUAAUGCAGAUUUUGUAUAGACAGUAGUCUAUAAGGAAAGUUAAUAGACACAUUAUGAACCUAGGGAUAGUAAGCAGCAUAUAAGGUGUUAGCAAGGCUUGGUUAAAAUAAGAUUUGCUUAGCUCAUUUGCGUCUCUUAAAAAUGUGUAACUUAAUCCCAUGGUGAAAUAAGGAAUUGUCAUGCUGCGUAUGGGAGUGGUUACAUUAAAUUCCCAUGGUGGGCUACAUUGAACAUCUAGAAGUUUCCCUAAAACAAGAUGCAAACAUUUUUCAAGAGAAAAUUUAAAUUAAAAUAAUAUGUUACCUGCUAAAACUUCCAAAGAUUGGAAAAAUUCAUCUGGAUGAAUAUAACCAGUUUGGGGUAUAAAAACUAAUAGUAUUCGGAUUAAAACUAGGAAAUAAUAAUACACACUGUAAUUAUUUCGCUUUUUCUUCAUAUUAAAGCAUACAGUAUUUUUGUUUACAUUCUCAUGAAAUGGAAUUUAAACCGUAUUUUCUUCUUUUAUUUUAUUAUGGUCUUUUACAAAGAGUAACCUGAACUCAAGAAUGGCCUCCACUAGUAACAUGCUUAUCCACUUGAGUUGUUGAUUCAUUAAAUUAAAUACAAAUGUAACAUGUCUACUUUAUUGAUAUUAUAACGAAUUGAACAAUACUGAAUGAAAAAAAUUCAAUAAAUAAGAGGUUAGGUUUAUAGUAAAGAGAACCUAUAUAGUAGACUCGCUUUUAUAUAUUAGAUGCAAAAACAUUAUACAAAGCUUAUUUGAAGACAAUCAUUGUAAAUUUUGAUAAUCAAUUAAUAGCGCAGUUUCUUAUUAAUAUAUAAACAAAAUUGAAUAGGGAGAGUAGAAAUUAUGAACCAAAUAAUUUUACUUGAAAAUGUAGAAGAAUAUGAUCGACUGUCAAAUGCCAGCUGUCGUUUAUUAAUCGGAAUAACAAAGUUAUUAGUAUUACAUUAUAAAAUUUUACUCUGAAUAUUAUUUAAUAAGAUACUGAUGUAUAACACUUGUAAUUUUGUUGAUAAAUUAUAAUUAUUUUAGGUCUCUAUCAAUUAAAAGCAUAUAAUAUUGACUGAAAGUACUCCAAACGUCAAUGUUAUAAGCUUUUAAAUGAAAUUUUAAAUUGAUAAGGACCGAAAAUCAAGAUAAUUUAUCAACAAAAGCGUAUAAAAGAGGUUUACUAAGUAAUAAAUCAAAGAAAUAUUUGUAAUUUUAUAUAUAUUCUAAAAUAAGGUUAUAUUUAAUAUAAGAUAUUGAUGUGAAUGUUGCAAUAAAAUAUUUGGAAUA